UAUAUACUCCCUCCGUCCGGAAAUACUUGUCAUCAAAAUGGAUAAAAGGGAUGUAUCUAGAUGUAUUUUAGUUUUAGAUACAUCCCUUUUUGUCCAUUUUGAUGACAAGUAUUUNAUCCCUUUUUGUCCAUUUUGAUGACAAGUAUUUUCGGACGGAGGGAGUAUAAU
rnacentral:pre_miRNA from 1 species